rnacentral:rRNA from 1 species
AGUGAACGCUGGCGGCAGGCCUAAUACAUGCAAGUCGAACGGCAGCACAGCAGAGCUUGCUCUGUGGGUGGCGAGUGGCGGACGGGUGAGGAAUACAUGGGAAUCUGCCCAGUCGUGGGGGAUAACGUAUGGAAACGUACGCUAAUACCGCAUGCGCCCUAAGGGGGAAAGCCGGGGACCGCAAGGCCUGGCGCGAUUGGAUGAGCCCAUGUUCGAUUAGCUAGUUGGCGGGGUAAAGGCCCACCAAGGCGACGAUCGAUAGCUGGUCUGAGAGGAUGAUCAGCCACACUGGAACUGAGACACGGUCCAGACUCCUACGGGAGGCAGCAGUAGGGAAUAUUGGACAAUGGGGGCGAACCCUGAUCCAGCCAUGCCGCGUGAGUGAAGAAGGCCCUCGGGUUGUAAAGCUCUUUUGUCCGGAAAGAAAAGCAAUCGGUUAAUACCCGGUUGUUCUGACGGUACCGGAAGAAUAAGCACCGG